rnacentral:lncRNA from 1 species
GACUGCGAGGCCCUCCGGUAAGGCAGGAAGAGUUUAUACUGGUUGUCAUGAAUUAAAGGAGAAAAAGUGCCCCUGUGCAAUUGCUGGUGUUGAUUGUAGUGAAAGCAGAACACAUUUUUUUGCAUAAUUUCUUCUACUUGUUGGAUUUAAAAAAAAAAAAAAAGAAGCAACCUAGAAACUGAUCUGUGAAAACAAGCUGAAAGUAGAGAAAUUAUCACAUAUAAAAAAUGGGAGAAGAAAUGGUUCUUAAGUUCCAAGAACUGCACGUUUAGCAGUCAAGAGAAAAACUAACAAUUAGUCAUCCCAGGGCUUCUGGGCCAUAGGUGUACAUGGAGUAGACUCAGGGCUCUUCCUAAGUGAGGGCUGGCUGAAGAAGCAGAUACACAUCUGCAUGGAGAGAAGACCUGAAAAAUCGAAUGGUGAGGUCUUUCCACAUCAUUGCUCAUAGCUACAAAAACUGUGUGCCAUAGAUACAGUCUCCUUCUCGACUGCUGUAUGCCAAAUACAUUAGUGAAAGUUGAGCUGUGUUUUUUAUGAAACAGCAACCAUAAGAAACAGGAUUUUCCAAAGUGCUGAGCAUUGCUCAUUGGCAGUAUUUACGUUUGAAAAUCAUAGUCCAUAAAGAUACCAGUCUUUUGUCUUCAGAGUAUCUUUAUCAGUGUCAGUAAAUGCAGCACACCAAGUAAUAGGGAAGAAGAUUCAGUACUUGGGCCCUGUUAUAUCAUGAGUGAUUCCCAGAUGCCAUCCAAGGUUGCUGUCACUAUAGUGCUAUAUACCAGCGUUUGGCUUGCCACUGUAAAGCUGUAGUGACUUGAUCAAAACAUUUGGAAGUAAUCAAACCGUCUCUUUUUUUUUUUAGUGUAAUGUAUCCGAUAGGAAACCCUUUGGAGAUUCUUUCUAGCUCCAGUCAUUGUGUCCUGUCCUCAUAUGACCUUUUUAAGAAGCAAAGCCUUUUCUCUGCAUGUUCAUAUUCUUGGCUUUUUAUCUUUUGAUCUGUAGGCUUCAGCUGGUCAGCAAGGUCUUCCAGGCCUUAAGGGAGAAAAAGGGGAUUCGUCCUAUGCAACAGGCAAAGGUGCUCGUGGGGACCGUGGUGCGACAGCACCCAGAGGACCUUCAGGCAUCCCAGGAACCCCUGGCAGGGAUGGACUUCCAGGCUUGCCAGGCCCACCAGGCCCUCCAGGUGAUGGUGGGCUAGGUUUCCCAGGUGAAAAAGGACUGCCAGGAUUACCUGGCUCCAAGGGCCAUCGUGGAGAAACUGGUUCCCCUGGUGUUGGAUAUCCAGGUCCUAGUGGAGUUCGUGGGCCGCCAGGUGACCCAGGAAUGGAUGGGUUUCCAGGACAAGCAGGUCUUCCAGGCCCUCCAGGUAGGUGUUGCUGGAUCUGCUUUUAUUUUGGAAAGAUGCAAAGCUGCUGCAAGUCAAAUGGCACUCAACUUACUGCUCACACAGCAGUCACAGCU